ACUUCGGGAUAACCGCGAGAAAUCGUGGCUAAUACCGGAUAUGACGCUCCUCCGCAUGGUGGGGUGUGGAAAGACUGUGUCGGUUGGGGAUGGGCUCGCGGCCUAUCAGCUUGUUGGUGGGGUGAUGGCCUACCAAGGCGACGACGGGUAGCCGGCCUGAGAGGGUGACCGGCCACACUGGGACUGAGACACGGCCCAGACUCCUACGGGAGGCAGCAGUGGGGAAUAUUGCACAAUGGGCGCAAGCCUGAUGCAGCGACGCCGCGUGAGGGAUGACGGCCUUCGGGUUGUAAACCUCUUUCAGUAGGGAAGAAGCCUUUCGGGGUGACGGUACCUGGAAAAAGAAGCCGCCGGCUAAACUCCGUGCCAGCAGCCGC
rnacentral:rRNA from 1 species